AGUAAAGUCAGCUAAUUAAGCUCUUGGGCCCAUACCCCAAAAAUGUUGGUUUAACCCCGCCUUUACUA
rnacentral:tRNA from 1 species